rnacentral:piRNA from 1 species
UAAAUCUAACAUUCCUAUCGGUAGUCAGGUA